rnacentral:rRNA from 1 species
UUCGUAGGUGGUGCGGCAAGUUGGGAGUGAAAUCUCUGGGCUUAACUCAGAGGCUGCUUUCAAAACUGCCGUGCUCGAGUGCGAGAGAGGCCAGUGGAAUUGCAGGUGUAGCGGUGAAAUGCGUAGAUAUCUGCAGGAACACCCGUGGCGAAGGCGGCUGGCUGGAUCGCAACUGACACUGAGGAACGAAAGCUAGGGGAGCAAACAGGAUUAGAUACCCUGGUAGUCCUAGCCCUAAACCAUCAGGACUUGGGGUGGCUCGCGUAGGCGGGUCGUCCCGUAGCUAACGCGUUAAGUCCUGCGCCUGGGGAGUACGGUCGCAAGACUGAA